AAUUGAACAUGAAUAUGGAUUUCAAUUCAUGCCAAAACUCCAUAUCUCCAUCUACACUCAGAAAUGCAGCUUUUGUGUUUAAUGCCUACCUGCAGGAGCAUGAACUAUGCCCUCCCAGUAAAGGGAAUGGUGGGGGAAAGAGGAAAAACCCCAGUUCAUGAAAAGCAAAAACAGGUGAAGUUCCUCAAGGGUUUGGCUCCACCUCUCAUGGCUGCAGUUGUUGCCUUAUCUCCUAUCUGCAACACCCCAGUAUCACUUGCACAAACCACAGAUAUACAAAGAGGAGCUGCAUUGUUUGGUCGAGCUUGUAUUGGAUGCCAUGAUGCUGGUGGAAACAUCAUACAACCAGGUGCAACACUCUUCUUAAAGGAUCUACAAAGAAAUGGAGUUGACACUGAGGAGGAGAUAUAUCGUGUGACAUACUAUGGCAAGGGACGAAUGCCGGGCUUUGGUGAGAACUGCACACCAAGGGGCCAAUGCACAUUUGGGGCUCGUUUACAGGAAGAAGAAAUUAAGCUUUUAGCUGAAUUUGUAAAGCUACAGGCUGAUCAAGGGUGGCCAAACUUAGAAAUUUCUGGAGAUUGAUUCCUGCUAAUAGGAAGGAAAUGCAGGGACUCUGAGUCUUAUGACUGUAGAAGAACUUGUGGUGCAACUAUGCAAACAAGGACAGUUUUCAGAUUUCUGGGAUCCUCCGCAAGAACAUGCAACGGUUUAAGCUUAAUCAAGAUGGCUAGCCAGUGGCCAUUUUCCUUGGUAUGAUCUCCUGCCAAAAUCUAUAGUGUAACUCCACCAUUGUAUAAAUUUGACUUGGUGUGAGACCCACCAUGAAAAUAUCUGUUCGUUACUCAUAAAUUUUAGAGUGCUUCAACAGCUCCAUUCACCAUGAAAAUAUUUCUUCGACAGAUUUAAAAAUUAUGCAUUAUAAUUUUUUUA